rnacentral:rRNA from 1 species
AUUGAACGCUGGCGGCAGGCCUAACACAUGCAAGUCGAGCGGAUGAAGGGAGCUUGCUCCUGGAUUCAGCGGCGGACGGGUGAGUAAUGCCUAGGAAUCUGCCUGGUAGUGGGGGAUAACGUCCGGAAACGGGCGCUAAUACCGCAUACGUCCUGAGGGAGAAAGUGGGGGAUCUUCGGACCUCACGCUAUCAGAUGAGCCUAGGUCGGAUUAGCUAGUUGGUGGGGUAAAGGCCUACCAAGGCGACGAUCCGUAACUGGUCUGAGAGGAUGAUCAGUCACACUGGAACUGAGACACGGUCCAGAUUCCUACGGGAGGCAGCAGUGGGGAAUAUUGGACAAUGGCGAAAGCCUGAUCCAGCCAUGCCGCGUGUGUGAAGAAGGUCUUCGGAUUGUAAAGCACUUUAAGUUGGGAGGAAGGGCAGUAAGUUAAUACCUUGCUGUUUUGACGUUACCAACAGAAUAAGCACCGGCUAACUUCGUG